GAAAAAGUUCUUGAGCUUUGAAUUACGAUUUUCAACUAUUAUGACUGAUGGAAAAAGAAGAUUUUCCGAACAACUCGAGAUUGUUUGAACGAUGUCCUUCAACACCCUCGAAAUUCCCUUUGACAUUCUUGAUUAACGACUCAUCAACCUUUGUUUGUACAGCGCUAUCUCCUCGUGCAUUUCUUUUACGAUGGGGUAGUACCUUUUGUCAUAAAUCAACGCAGGAUUUAUUUCAUUUUUUUCCUACACUUGAGAUGAUGAUGUUCUUUAUUAUUACUGGGAUUGUAUUUAACGCAGAGAUACCCACGUGCGGUAUUUUUUUAAUAGAAUAUGUUUAGACGGAAUAUGGUCGAUUUUUAAUUUCUAUCGAUAUCUGAUGAAUCAUGACUAAUCACUAAUUAGAAGAUUAGUGUCGUCUGCUUUUUUGUUUGUGCAAAAUUCGAAAAAGAGCAGCCACCCGAAAUCAACAUAAGAUUACAAAAAAAACGAAAAGAUCAAUUUAUUCUGGAAACGUGGCUAACACUGAAAAUAGCCCAGCCAAUAAAAUUAGCCAAAAAUGUGGUCGUCGUGUCAACUCUGGUGGUCGCGUCUCUUGAUAGAAUGGCUUAAUACACACUCCAUGCUGUUUGGCAGAUUUGAGGCCAGAGCCAUCCAUCAUAACAACGAGAAAUGCAAGAUUUUUUUUUUCUGAUACAUUUACCUAUCAUCACUCAUUAGGAAUCUCACUGUCACUUCUUGGAUAAACAGCAUCUCUUUCUAUCCCGAUUCACGAAGACC